rnacentral:snRNA from 1 species
AAAGAUACCUAGUAGGGCAGAUACCAUGAUUAUGGAGGUAGUUUUCCUAGGGUUAGGCUUAUUUUUCACAUGAGAUAUGCUAACCCUUACAAUUACUCCAUUUGAAGGGAUCUCAACUGCAUAAUUUGUGCUAGUGGGGGAUUCUGUUCCCACUUCCCCUUG